CCGAGCCCAAAGCAAAAGAAAAUUAAAACCUACUGGCCUAAAAGCCGACAACAAACCCAUAUUUUGUAAGGCUAACCCUUUCCCAUUCCUUCAAUUCACCCAACCGACGAUUCCAAUCACAUAGUUUGAAGGAAGAACGGAUUGAAGAAGCAAAAAAAAUUUGUUUUUUUCUUGUAGGAAGAACGGAGUUGUAAGAAGAAUCCCAAAGACUCUGAAAAUGGGCUUGUCCUUUCGUCUACUGAGGAAGACUUUUCACUUUCUGGAAAAACUACUUUGAUGAUCAAGAAUAUUCCUAAUCAGUUAAGGUACAGUAUAUAUUUUCUUAAUUUUAUGAACUUUGCUAUGUGUUUGGAUUAUUUAUUUAUUUAUUUAUUAAUUUUUUUGCACAAAUAAAGCACUAUUCAAGUGUUUGAUAAUUUGUGUAAUUCGUGUAAUUUCUGUGAUUAGUGUUUCGGUGAUAAUUUGUGUAAAAUAUAUAAUUUGUGUUGAUAAUUUCUGUGAUUAGUGUUUGAUGAUAUUUGUGGGCAUUUUUAUCAAUUCGAUCCAUUACUCUUUACCUUUAUCAAUUUAAUAUAGACCGAUUUUUCCAAUAUUAAGUUUAUACUGCAAUGUAAAUACAUUUUUUGAUACAACAUAAAUAUUCUAGUAUUGAAUUUGCAACAACUUCAUUAACACUGUCAUUCAUGGAGGAAUUGGAAGAAAAAUUGGUUGGUGAAUAUAGCCAGGUUUUGUGAGGACUUUUUGGCUGUGGGGUUGUUGGGAUAAGGGGUGGGUAUAAUCUGGGGCUCAUUGGAGGAUUUCAUGGACUAAGGGUGAAGGUCAUGGACUUCACCUCCAUGCUUUUGUAUCUGUACGAGUUUUAUUGUAAAUCAUAAUGGAAAAUCACAUUUCAUCUGUGGGUUCGGUAGACCUUUAAAGUGGAGAAGAUUUAGUUUUCCAGAUUCUUCGUUCAAUACUUGGUCAAACCCAAUACUGUUUUAGAUAAUCAAUUAACUCCUAACAAAAUUUAGACAAUAAGAAAGACCUUAAAUUCUUGAACAAAAGAGACAAAACUGCUCAUAUUAAAUUCAGUACGAUGGAUGAUAUUUCACUAGAAUGUUAAUGAUUUCAACAUUUAUUUCUUUGAUCAGGUUUGUGUUGUAAAUCUCUAGAUACACGAGGGCGCAAAGAAGUUCUCGUAUCAAACUGGAGUAAAGGUUGUAGUUGCCUAUGGUGGGGCUUCAAUUUACUGGCAGGUUUUGGUUUUUUACAACUGAAACUGAAAUUAUUAUGUUGUUUUGACAUUGGCUAUUAAUUUAUCUUGACAUCAUUUGGCUAAAUUCUAAUCAAUGUAUUUGUUGAUUGUAAUGUUAGAAUGGUUUAAGUAGAUUGUUAGAUUGUAAGGUGACAUGAUGGCUCCAUUGGCUUCUUGUUGAGGUAGAUGCCAUGUAUCAAUGAUUUUUAUAUUUCUUGUAAUGAUAAUUUGUCAUUCUAAGAUACUAUAAGUAACUUCUUUUUUUUUCUUUUUUUCUUUAUUAUUAUUAUUAUUUUUUUUUUGAUGACAAUUUCAGUUUUUGUGGCUAAAUAGUGAGGAUAGUAAUAUCAUUAUCUUUGGAAUGGAGUUUCCGUCCUUGCCUAUUUGAUUGUCUUCUAUAAUGGAAGUUUUUGUCUCUGGUUUCUUGAGUGCCUUAAGUAAGUGAGCACAUGUUUAAUUUGUAAGCCAAAAUGCAUUUUCGUUAUAUGCAGUUUUCGUCUUUCUCUGUUGGUAAAAUUAACUGAUCAUUGCUUGGGAAGGAUGUGGUUUAAGGAAAUCUAUGAUUAUCAUUAUAUUAUGUCUUUUUCUUAGCGAUGUUCAACUCAUGUCAAGAAGCAAGUAUAUCGUUCCUGUUUUAGUGAAGUUGUGUGUA
rnacentral:lncRNA from 1 species